rnacentral:misc_RNA from 1 species
UCCGGUUUGGCACCGGCGGUCUCCGAUGAGUCCCCGGCUUUACCCGCUGGCAACAUCGGACAGGGGUUGCGCUCGUUGCGCCACUUAAGGCAACAUCUCACGACACGAGCUGACGACAGCCAUGCAGCACCUCGACUAGCGUCCCUUGCGGGAAAAGCGACUUUCGCCGACUGUCGCUAGCCGUUCGAGCCCAGGUAAGGUUCUUCGCGUUGCGUCGAAUUAAACCACAUACUCCACCGCUUGUGCGGGCCCCCGUCAAUUCCUUUGGGUUUCAGCCUUGCGACCGUACUCCCCAGGCGGGAUACUUAAUGCGUUAGCUUCGGCACGAAGGGAUUCAAUCCCCCUCACACCAAGUAUCCAUCGUUUAGGGCUAGGACUAC